GGCACCGUAGCCAAGUAGCAAGGCGGGAGUCUGCAAAACUCCUAUGCGCGGGUGCAAUUCCCGCCGGUGCCU
rnacentral:tRNA from 1 species